rnacentral:misc_RNA from 1 species
GCCAUCUGUUGUUCUUUUUAUUGAUAGAUCAUCUGACUCGUUGAAGAUUAGAGAAAAAAGCAGGAAGGCUCUUGAUUCUUUUCGAGAGUUUGCCCUGAAAGUUCAGAUGUCAAAUGAAAUGAGUGAACCAAAAACAUUCAGAUCACAAAUGACAUCUCUUAAGGCUUUUCAAGCAUCAAGUAGUACCUCCAGACACCCUACAGUGGGGCUGUUGACAGCAUCUCAAAAGAUAAAUAGCAAAGACAAGAUGUCAAUUGUUGUAAUGAAUCAGGGGAAACAAGUCACCCG